rnacentral:lncRNA from 1 species
AUGGGGAACCGAUGGGGGGGUGAGCAAGGGGGGCUAAAGGGGGUCGCGUGGUCUCGGUCCCUAAGGGCAGGCCUGAAGGGAGGGAUGGGGCUGCGGGCGAAAUUUUCCGAGCCUCCUCGCCUGCGGCGCCCCCUCCUCAGCUCCCUGAGCGCUCCCCUCCCCCGGGGCCCGCACACCCAGCCGAGGGAUGCAGGGUGCGCGGGGAUAUGCGAGGAUGCGCGGCGCUGCAGGCGCGGCCCAGGGCCCCUCGGGGGUCGCGUCACCGAGGAAGCGAAGCCGGGAGCUGGAUGGUCAAUGCCUUCCGCCCUGGGGGUAACAGUCCCCCUUCUCCAGCCCAGACCUCCCCAAAGCGCGCGCGGACCUCCCAAAGGAGCCGGGGGUGGGGUCCCCAAGCACCCCGCGCUCUCACCGCUUCUCCUCUGCUCUGCCUUCUUCUCCGGCUCAAGCUCCAGCCCGGUCGCCUCCUGGGCUCCCCCCGGAGUGGGAGGGAGCCUCGGUCCCGCCUCCGCGCCCUUUCUCUCCCAGGCCGCGCACCAGGGCGCUGGGCUUUCGGCGUGCGGACCUACUACCCUGCCGACCGACGGACGCGUGUGCCUGCUGCCGGACGCCGGAAUCCCGCGGCAGGGCUCUGGCUUUCAGCAGAUUCUUCUCCACGGAGGUUGUGACCCCAAAGAUUCAGAGUUGAUGCUGUAACACCCUUAUGUUAUAGACAAGGAUCUGAGGAUUCCGGGAUGGAGAAGAAACUGGCUCAAAGUUACAUGGAAAUUUAGCAGCAAGUUGGAAAGAACCCAUGACUCCAGACUGUAUAAUGCUAUUUAAGGUCUGACUAAAUGUCACCUCCUGCAGGAAGCCUUCCCUGAACUUGUCCCAUCUUCCUCUGUGUUCCUUUGCACAUACCUUGAUGUGACACCCUAUAUCACAAUGAGCCACUUCAAUGGAAUUUGUCCCUGCUAGAAUGAGCCAUCCAUGAGAUCGGAGACUGUGUCUUACUCAUCUUUGUGUGGUGUGGCUGGUGUUUAUUACUUAAUCGCUAUCGUUUAUUGAGUGCCUAUUAUGUGCCAAGGCACUUUUGUAAUGCUCAUUCCAUUUCACAGUUGUCCCACAAGGUAGGUAAUAUUGUCCUCAUUUCACAUAUGGAAAAAAAUCUCCUGGAGCUCAGAGGUUUGCCCAAGUUCCCACAGAGAGUGAGUGGUAGUGCUGAGAUUUGAAUCCCAAACCCUUUUGCACCUCCCACUUCACCAGUGGUGUUUUUUCAGUCGUUAAUGAGUAGCAUCCCGCUGAGGAUCUGGAGCAGCAGGGCCCUAAUGGCCCCCUCUCCACUGGGCUCUGGAGCAUCUGGAAGUACAAAGCCCUGCUCCCAGGGCUUCCUGGGAGAAAAGGAUUCUAAGGAGGUGAAAGGAAUCUUUGAGGAGCUCACAAACCCCUGGGGAGAUGGCUCAGACACCAGUAGAGAAGCCAGUAGAACAAAAGCAAUCCAUCAUGAACUCUUUAAAAUUUACUGUAUGCCUGCAUGACAUGCCUAGCAGAGGAAUCCCAGGAUUUUCUCUUCUGUGUGUUUCUGUCUUGCUUCCUUGCGGCCAUAAUACCAGCUGAGGUCGUCAGUACAAUUACUUCCAACUGAUGAGAUUGGAGAAGACAAUUCUGCUACUUUUCUAGAUCUUUGAGUUACACAUCCAACCUGGGUCUGACUAUGCUUCUUUAACCUGUAUAUGAGGGAACUUCCAUAUGUGUGGGUGCAGCCCUAAAAAGCAAAAACAAAGAAACAUUGUUGGUGGGCAUGUGAAUUGGUGCAACCAUGUUGGGAAAUAGUCUGGCUUUAUCUCCUAAAGCUGAGCAGAUACAUAUCCUAUGACCCAGCAAUUUUCUUUUCUUUUUUUUUUUUUUUUUUUUUUUUGCUUUUUUAGGGCCACACCUGUGGCAUAUGGAUGUCCCCAAGCUAGGGGUCUAAUUGGAGCUACAGCUCCCAGCCUACACCACAGCCAUAGCAACACGCUGGAUCCGAGCCGCAUCUGCGACCUACACCACAGCUCAUGACAAUGCCAGAUUCUUAACCCACUGAGCAAGGUCAGGGAUUGAACCCUCAACCUCGUGAUUCCUAGUCGGAUUCACUUCCAUUGUGCCACGAUGGGAACUCCUAACCUAGCAAUUCAAAUCCAAAGUACCCACUGUGGAAAAAUUCUUGCCCAUCUACACCAAGAACUACAUGGAAGACUAUUCACGGGGGUGCUGGCCACAGUAGCCCAAAUUGGGAAACACCCACGUCCCCAUCUAUGGGAGAGCAGAUGAAUAAAUUCCCAUGAUAAAAUAUUACUUGGCA